rnacentral:rRNA from 1 species
CAGUCGCCGCGGGAAAACGGAGGAUCCGAGCGUUAUCCGGAAUUAUUGGGUUUAAAGGGUGCGUAGGCGGAUAGAUAAGUCAGUGGUGAAAGACGGUGGCUCAACCAUCGCAGUGCCGUUGAUACUGUUUAUCUUGAAUAUGGAUGAGGUAGGCGGAAUGUGGCAAGUAGCGGUGAAAUGCAUAGAUAUGCCACAGAACACCGAUUGCGAAGGCAGCUUACCAAGGCAAAAUUGACGCUGAGGCACGAAAGCGUGGGGAUCGAACAGGAUUAGAUACCCGUGUAGUCCCUGUCUCUUAUAC